GAUGAAGAACGUAGCGAAAUGCGAUAAGUAGUGUGAAUUGCAGAAUUCAGUGAAUCAUCGAAUCUUUGAACACACAUUGCGCCCUUCGGUAUUCCGUUGGGCAUGCCUGUUCGAGCGUCAUUUAAACCUUCAAGCUAUGCUUGGUGUUGGGUGUUUGUUCCGCCUCUGCGCGUGGACUCGCCUCAAAUUCAUUGGCAGCCGGUAUGUUGGCUUCGUGCGCAGCACAUUGCAAGCGACUUCAACAAACCUCCUUCCAUAAGCCUUUUUUUUACUUUGACCUCGGAUCAGGUAGGGAUACCCGCUGAACUUAAGCAUAUCAAUAAGCGGAGGA
rnacentral:misc_RNA from 1 species